rnacentral:rRNA from 1 species
CAGCCGCCGCGGGAAUACGUAGGUCCCGAGCGUUAUCCGGAUUUAUUGGGCGUAAAGCGAGCGCAGGCGGUUAGAUAAGUCUGAAGUUAAAGGCUGUGGCUUAACCAUAGUACGCUUUGGAAACUGUUUAACUUGAGUGCAGAAGGGGAGAGUGGAAUUCCAUGUGUAGCGGUGAAAUGCGUAGAUAUAUGGAGGAACACCAGUGGCGAAAGCGGCUCUCUGGCUUGUAACUGACGCUGAGGCUCGAAAGCGUGGGGAGCAAACAGGAUUAGAUACCCCUGUAGUCCCUGUCUCUUAUACA